GGGGUUAAGUCCAGCCUGGGAUGCUGAGCCCCUGCAGAUGGGCAGAGUGAGGGAUGAGGAGGAGAAGAAUUUCCCUGGCCCACCUGAGCCCAGAGAGAAUCUCCUGCUUUGCUGCAAUCCUGCUGCUCCUCUCAAAUACUUUAUUCACCAACUGCAAGUAAAGCUCCAGAAGGAUUGCCAGCACUGAUUCAGAGGUCUGUGAGGUUAAUCCCAGACAGGACAGAAAUGUCCUCAAACCCAGCCAACCCAUCGUGGUAUAACCCAAAAUAGGACAAUUAGUUUCCACAACGGGAUUCUCUACAGAAGCAACAUAGCCUGUUGCAGUCUUGGCUCUCUACAUGCCUUGUGAUUCAGUUUUGAGGGGAGGAAGUUCACAAAGAAGCUGCAUGAGUUAGUGCAAACCCCAGACGUGCAUCCUGCAAAAGGCAGCAGAGAUGACCCUAAAGGUGAUUGCACAAGUCAAUGCUUUGCCACAGAAAUACAGAAUCAUGAACUGUCCUGAGCUCGAGGGGACCCACAGGCAUCGAGUCCAACUCCUGACCUUGCACAGAACAACUCCAGGAGUCCCACCAUGUGCCUGAGAGCAUUGUCCAAACACUUCCUGAACUCUGGUAGGUUUGGUGCUGUGCCCACAUCCCAGGGGAGCCUAAUUCCAAAACACCCUCUGGGUGAAGAACUUUCUCCUAUUAAUCCCCCACCCCACUACUGCCCCGACUCAGCUUCAUGCCAUUCUCUCAAGUUCUCUCACUGCUUACCAGAGAGAUCAGUGCCUGCUCCUCUGCCUCCUCGGACUUGCAGCAGGCUUGGCCAGCUGGCCAGGCACAGCUGUUUGCUGGUGGUCCAGUACAGGACAACUCAUCCCUCAAAACAAGAUGAAUGAGUUUCAGCAGCAAGUGCAGACUCCCUGACAGAGGGACACAAAAACACCCUAAGAAAGACUUACAGCACAUAUAAAAACACAAGCCAAAGAGUUGCACAGUGCCCUUUCAUACACCAUUCCCCCAAGUCUGACAAGAGAAGAACGUGAGGCUGCAGCUGGGCUUUUACAGGAGCACAGUGCCUGUGCUGAUGGUUUCAAGUUGGCUCAGGGUCAGUGCAGCUUCUCAGUGGGAAAGCAGCCCUGAGGACUCAACACAAAGCACAGUGACUCUUCUCUUCCCUGUUGUCAAAGCAUCACUUGAAGCAAAAGCCUGAAAAUGUGUUACCUGGGAAAGCAAAGCCACCACAUUAGGGAGUGACAGCACAAAGCAGACUGUGACAUUUACAAGUGAGCUUGAGCUCACUCAUUUGUAUUUCAAAGGCCAGGUUGACACAAGAUAUUUUUCUUGUUCUAGUUUUGGCUGUGAAGGGAAUAAUACACAAUUUUGAGUGCUACUGCCACUGUGUCAGCUUUCCUGCAGAGUCAGAUACAACAUUCAGCCUGCUUCGCUUGGAGAACAUAAGGACCAAUCUUGGAAAGUUCCCCUUUGGCUGACAUAAACAAAACCAAUUUAGGAAGCUUGCUCAUGGUCCAUACUCUCACCAACCCAUCCUCAACUUCCUAUGGCUCACGUGAAUGAAGCUAAUCGUGUUGAGUGUCUCCCCUCCUUCAGCUGCUUCACACUAUGAAAGCUUUCCAUCUUCAGAGCUCUCACUGACUGAUGGUGACAUUUAGUGACAAAACAGGCUCAACAGUUUAACACCUUUGUGACGUCCAUCACACUGUAAGAUGUCCUCCUAUGCAGGAAAGGAUCAGUAUUUCUGAUCCCACCACUAGUAGUGACCAGCACUGAUCAGGCACAGCCCUCUUGGUGACAAGCCACAGUGCUCCUUAGACCGAGAUCUGCCUCUUCAGCCCAGAAACCCAGAGUAAUACUGAGUAGAAAUCCAGUUUACAGCUUUCCCUGUCAUGCCAGACCCAUCAAGACCCUUGCUGGAGGUGGCAGUAUCCCACUUGGGCAUAACACCUGCCUCAGCUGACAACCUUGGAACUGGCAGCCAAGGUCAUCGGUUCAGGAACUCCAGAGCUUCUCGGAAACCCUUACUGGCCUACAACAAAGCUCAUCACAAUUCAGCUGGGCAAAUACAUGGAACUGACAAAGCCACAGUGAGGCAGGUCUCCAUCCCCUUGGCAGAUACCAUCAUCACAAUGUGGAGGUGUUAAAGAGAUGCCAUCAUAAAUGGCAUCACAAAGACCAUGACUGUCUGAGCAAUAGAGAUCACCCUCUUCUAAGAAGGACCAAAAGACAGGAACAUUAUGCUCCACUGGUUCCCUCAAGUCAGAGUUAACCACAAAGUUUCACUCCUCCUCCGUGACUCCAUGUGAUCCCACAGUUAACUCUGGCUCCUUUCCUGUCCCCAAACAUACUGGCACUGUCACAGUUCUACCCACUUUUUGGGGCCAUGCAUGUGACCCAAGCAGGCACACUAGGAAAGCAAAAUAGCGAAGUAAGGUAAGUGUUCAAGAAACUGUGGGGUAAAAGAUUUGCCCAGUUAAUGAUCUUCAUACCUGAAUCAGAAUUUUCCUUUCAAGUUUGCCCAUCCAGUGCAGUUUCUCAUACCUACCACCCACCCACACACUCCACCUCUGCCUUGGCUGCUGUCUCCAGCCUUCAUCCACGCCUGUGACACCCUAUUCACGGUCUAACAUGUCUCCCCCUCUAUUUCAGGGCAGUUUUAUCCCCAUUUUUAAAGCCAUUUUCUCCAUAUACACUUUGCCCACAUUUGGAGCACAAGUGUGUGUAACUCAGGGACCUGGAGACUUCCAGCCAGCAGCUCCAAGGCCCCCACACCCCUCACCUGCAGUCACCUGAAAUGGUGCUCGACACUUUGUGUCUCCCCUUGCCUGGGUGGAGCAAUGGCUUUGUUUGGGGAUGAAGGGAAGCAAGACAGAGAGACCUGGCAAUGGACUGGUUGGACACAACAUGUCCAAGCCAAGAUCCCACCACAAAAGUGAGUUAUUUCCUUGUGACAGCACAGACAAGACAAGCUUUAUAUAAAUCACAGUAAAGCAUACUCACACAGAGCUAUAUGUAAGAUAUAUAUCCAGUACACACCAAAAUAACACCAAGGAGUAUGGAUGCCAAAGAACGGGUAAAAUUAGCAUAUCAGAGAAGUGGCAAAAUCCUAUAAGAGCAUGGAAAAAAGGCCUAUUUUGAACAGUAAUGAACACAUUUCAAAAAUAUUGGAUAUUCUUGGCUUGGAGCCCUACAUACCACAACAUAUGACAAUCACAUCAGAUUGAAGAAUGAGAAAAAUCAGCCAGAAGGUCCACUGGAGAUAUCCCAAGAAAAACAUGGAUUGCAUGUGGUAGGGCGCUGCAGCAAAUUAUUUCCUUAGCAUCACAGAGUGUACCAGUGUUCUGUCUACUCCAGCCUGCUGCUGAAAUGCAAUUUUCUGAGUCACACAGCCCUUACAUGGCAAAAAUUAGCAUAACCUCAGAAAUAAUUUUUCAAAAAUCUAUUCCUUGAAAGUUAGUCCAACAUUAACGAGACAAAAAGCAAUGUUGGCAGGGAAUACCAGGAUGUCAUCCUUGAAACUUAUGCCAGAGAAAGCUGAAAUGUCAAUAAUGUCAAAUGCAUACAAAUUUGAACCAAAUAAUACUGUUGUUAGCUCAAUGACUUCAUAACAAUCAAGUUAAGGAGGAAAAAGGAGAUGGGAAAUAAAUGAAAAUGGGCUAGACAGUUUUUACCACAAUUGGAUAAUCUGUCCAAGGGCAUUAAAGGGGGCAGACGAGCAUCCUAAGGAUGGAAUCAGCCCUGGGAAGACUUAACAGAUCCUCUACAAUGGAAAAACUAAUAAAUGCAAGGUAGUACUAAUCUGUAAUAAAGCCUACUAUAAUAUUAAACAAGACCUAAUUAAAUUCAAAUAAAGGCACUACAUAUAUUGAUCAAUAAUAAGUGCAAAAUGUAAUCAGAAUCACAGCACUCAAAAAUUAAGACCUACUACCGAAAUGGGGGCAAGCACAGUGCGUUUGAAGACACAUGUUCCACUCCACACUUUAUGGACAUCAGGACUUCAAUGCCAAACCUUGGGUAAAAUAAUCCCCCCAGCAUUUCCCGAGGAGAAAUUCAUGCCUGAGACACCAAAGCAGCUCUGAGCAUCAUUUUCCCAGCUCAACUUACAGCAAAAAGUUUUCCUAACUUUCCCAUCCUUUUCGACGCCGUUUUACUGGAUAAUUUGGUUAUAGGCAUGAGGGAUGAAUUGCAGGCGGAGGGUAACUCAAUCCCUCUCUCCCUGGAGGAGUUCUACUGGCAGCUUGAAGUGAGGUGCUGACCUUGGUUACUUUACCCUGGUUUUUUUCUCCUGCAAGCAACCACAACAGAAACCUCAAGCAAAAUUGUCCUAAACUCUCCUGGAGAUUUGGAAUUCAGUCCAACAUGGGUGCUAUUUGAACUUCAUGAAAUGAACAUCUUAAAUAAAAAGGUUUGCGGUGGUGUGAA